GCUUCAAUAGUGCAACGGGUUAGAGCACGCGCUCUCGGAUAAAGUUAGGUGCGGGUUUGAGCUCCGCCUGAGGCA